CUCGCAGCCGACCCACCAACAGCAACCUGCCGGCCAGGUCCUCGCGCCCAGUGCGCGUGCGCACUGCGCCAACCCACCACUCAGUCACCCCCCGCCCGCCACUGCCACGAGGAAGUGGGUGGAAACGAGAGUGAAAAGUCACACCCACCCAUAAGGGAGGAGAAGUGUGGGCGGAGCUAGGGGCAAAAGCCUCCGGGGCAGGGCAAAGGAGAGCGCCGCGCCUUCUUGGAGGUGUUGCUGAUGCAAAAAGAAUCAACAGAGAACUAUGGAGGGGAAAGAGUAUGCAUUUUCAUAGGAGUAUAAGAGCGACCUUACUAUCCACAGCUCCUUGCCCACUUACAUUUGCUUUUGCUUGAAGUUACAGGAGUAUAAAGCAAUUAGGAGUGCUACAUCCUCUUUUGAUGAAGGCUAGUUAUCCUCACUGGGAAAAGAAUAAGAAAGCAGACUCCAGACUCUUGGGAUUCAGCUUUGCAUGUAAUGUCUUGUUCCACCUGCCUCUUCUUUCCCCCAUGCACAGCUUUUCUUUCCAUCAAGACCUUGUCAUCCAAGAAUCUUCCCGUGGGCAGCAUUUAUACUUAAUCAUCCUUUCUGCAGCCCGCAUGAGCUCAGAUUUUCUCUGGCUCAUCCUUGGUAUCAUUUUCACUGAAGGAACAUGAGUGUACCAAAAUGCCCUGAUACCAGAAUGCUAGAGCAUCUGGCACAAAUAAAAAUGACUGUACUAUUUUCUCUGCAUUAUAAUCCUUUCAUGCUUCUCAGACAUGUGUUUUUGAUGGAGUAUCCCUAAAGAAAUACAAAAGUCAGUGAACCAGAAAAUGCCUUUCUUGAGAUAAGGGGGAAUUGGGCCACAAUCAUGAGUCUAUAAUAAUUAGAAAUUUGGGUCAU